UACGUAGGUGGCAAGCGUUAUCCGGAUUUAUUGGGCGUAAAGGGAACGCAGGCGGUCUUUUAAGUCUGAUGUGAAAGCCUUCGGCUUAACCGGAGUAGUGCAUUGGAAACUGGGAGACUUGAGUGCAGGAGAGGAGAGUGGAAUUCCAUGUGUAGCGGUGAAAUGCGUAGAUAUAUGGAGGAACACCGGUGGCGAAAGCGGCUCUCUGGCCUGUAACUGACACUGAGGCUCGAAAGCGUGGGGAGCAAACAGG
rnacentral:rRNA from 1 species